AACGAACGCUGGCGGCAUGCCUAACACAUGCCAGUCGAACGAGACCUUCGGGUCUAGUGGCGCACGGGUGCGUACCGCGUGGGAACCUGCCCUUAGGUUCGGAAUAACUCCCCGAAAGGGGUGCUAAUACCGGAUAAUGUCUUCGGACCAAAGAUUUAUCGCCUUUGGAUGGGCCCGCGUUGGAUUAGCUAGUUGGUAGGGUAAAAGCCUACCAAGGCGACGAUCCAUAGCUGGUCUGAGAGGAUGAUCAGCCACACUGGGACUGAGACACGGCCCAGACUCGGACGGGAGGCAGCAGUGGGGAAUAUUGGACGAUGGGCGAAAGCCUGAUCCGGCAAUGCCGCGUGAGUGAUGAAGGCCUUAGGGUUGUAAAGCUCUUUUACCCGGGAUGAUAAUGACAGUACCGGGAGAAUAAGCUCCGGCUAACUCCGUG
rnacentral:rRNA from 1 species